UGUAACAAAACCCUUUUGAUAUUGACUCAAACAGCAGAACACGAAACCACGAAUAGAGCAAGGUCUGUCUUAUUUCUACCCACGAAUAGAGCAAGGGUGGGUCUUCUUCUAUUCUUCUUCGUUACCCACGAAGACGAACACGGGUUGGGUUAUUCUCAUCUUCUUCUUCCCAUGCUUAUAGCAGUACGUGGUCGCAUGCCCUAAAGAUCAGGUUUGGCGAUUUUGGGUCUUCUUCUCAUCUUCGGCGUCUACCCACAAAGACAAACACAGGUUCCCAAAGUAACCGAAUCGAAAUCCCCCAUUGGACCUAUGGUAAUAUAGAGGUUGGGAGGCAAAUCCUCAAACAGCUUUUGGUGAUGGAGCCAUAUAAUUCGGGGCUUUACGUGUUUCUCUCAAACAUAUACUGUGAAGUUGUGAGAUGGAAGAUGUGAAGAAGAUAAGGAAACUAAUGGAUGGCUGUGGGAUCAAAAAUUGUAGAGCAAUUAGCCUCAUCGAGAUUGAUGGUUGUGUUCGUGAAUUUCUGGUUGACGGCAAGAGACAUGAAAUUUGGAGCAGUAUACGCUCGAUGCUUGAUCAAUUAACACAACAUUUGAAGUUUUCAUGAUAUUCACGCAAUAUCUCAAGUGCAUAUUUGGAUGUAGAUGAAAUAUACCCCCUUGCCCAUUUUUGAGUUGUAUUAAUAAGUUGUGAGAAAGUAACUUGAAACACUAGAAUUAUAUCUUUAUUCUUUCCCUUCUAUUAUUUGUAAAACAUGACAACUGUUUUCCUUCUAAUUAUAAAAUCAAGAAAGAGUACGUGCAUGAACAAGAAA